ensembl:lncRNA
GAUGCCUACAAGAGCUCCCAAAAUUGAACAUCACCGAUGUUCAUCGGAUUUGCAGAGUGACGACUACCCCCGCCAGCAAAUUAGAUAAAGGAUUUAAGUUAUAUGCUGCAUCAUAUAUACACAACUACGAAGAUUAAGCUUCUGGAUUCAUCGCCGGUGAUACUGACACAUAGCCAGUGCUCCUGUGUGGCAGGCGCUGUUAUGUGCAAUCACACAGUGGCAUUGCUCUUCCAAACAGCACACUACUCACAACUCAGAGUGCCGGUUGUCCCCCC